GAAAUGCGAUAAGUAAUGUGAAUUGCAGAAUUCAGUGAAUCAUCGAAUCUUUGAACUCACAUUGCGCCCGUCAGCAUUCUGGCGGGCAUGCCUGUUCGAGCGUCAUUUCAACCCUCAGGACCCCCCUUUCGCGGGGAGGGACCUGGCGUUGGGGAUCGGCCCGCCCCCCGCGGCGGCGCCGUCCCCGAAAUCUAGUGGCGGUCUCGCUGCAGCCUCCCCUGCGUAGUAGUUACAACCUCGCAUCGGAGCGCGGCGCGGCCACGCCGUAAAACCCCCGACUUUCUGAACGUUGACCUCGGAUCAGGUAGGAAUACCCGCUGAACUUAAGC
rnacentral:misc_RNA from 1 species